AUCAACUUUCGAUGGUAGGAUAGAGGCCUACCAUGGUGGUAACGGGUAACGGGGUGUUAGGGCACGACACCGGAGAGGGAGCCUGAGAAACGGCUACCACAUCCAAGGAUGGCAGCAGGCGCGCAAAUUACCCAAUCCCGACACGGGGAGGUAGUGACAAUAAAUAACAAUACGGGAUUCUAAAGGAUUUCGUAAUUGGAAUGAGUACAAUUUAAAUCUCUUAACGAUCAACAAUUGGAGGGCAAGUCUGGUGCCAGCAGCCGCGGUAAUUCCAGCUCCAAUAGCGUAUAUUAAAGUUGUUGCAGUUAAAAAGCUCGUAGUUGAAUUUCGGGGUUAGUAGGUUGGUCAUGCCUCUGGUAUGUACUGAUCUCCUGAUUCCUCCCUCUUGACGAACUGUAAUGUCAUUAAUUUGGUGUUUCAGGAAAUCAGGACUGUUACUUUGAAAAAAUUAGAGUGUUUAAAGCAGGCUUAGGCUUGAAUACAUUAGCAUGGAAUAAUGAAAUAGGACGUUUGAACCUAUUUUGUUGGUUUCUAGGAUCGACGUAAUGAUUAAUAGGGAUAGUUGGGGGCAUUAGUAUUCAAUUGUCAGAGGUGAAAUUCUUGGAUUUAUUGAAGACUAACUACUGCGAAAGCAUUUGCCAAGGAUGUUUUCAUUAAUCAAGAACGAAAGUUAGGGGAUCGAAGACGAUCAGAUACCGUCGUAGUCUUAACCAUAAACUAUGCCGACUAGGGAUCGGAUGAUGUUAAUUUUUUAAUGACUCAUUCGGCGCCUUACGGGAAACCAAAGUGUUUGGGUUC
rnacentral:rRNA from 1 species